GUCGCGGAGUAGCAAGCUCACAGGGUUCUCCGCGCCGCCUGGCCUGUUACUGGAAGAAACGCCUGUGGACAUGGCAUAAAUGGUGGACUAUGGCAGCCAUGAGAUAUGCCGCACAGACCUCUAACUACGGGGAGUGUUCUUGAAAGUUGCCACUCCAUGAUAACAACAAUUGAAAAGCUGAACAGUCUGAAAAAAACUGCUACUUUUCUUGGAUCCAUGAGAGAGGGGAGGACACAGGGCAAAUCACUGCCCCCGAGAUUGGAGAAAAAGGCAGGCCAACAUAAGGAGUCAUGGCUUCCUGUAGCAGAGACUCAUGAGUGGAAACCACCAGGGGAACCAGUGCCAAGAGACUGGACUUCUAACUGAGCUGAAAAUGAAUUACUAUUUCUGGAGCCUGUGACCUUACUGGUGUCGAUUUGCAUGUGGUUUUCUGCUUGGAUGCUUUAGUUUUUGUGAGGUUGAGAAGAGAUUUGUUUUGGUGCAGGAACACCAGCUAGUAAAGACCAACAGAGAGAAUGAAAAGGCUGUUACAGAUACUGUCCCCUUCUUGAGUUGG